rnacentral:rRNA from 1 species
UUAAGCGACUAAGCGUACACGGUGGAUGCCCUGGCAGUCAGAGGCGAUGAAGGACGUGCUAAUCUGCGAAAAGCGUCGGUAAGGUGAUAUGAACCGUUAUAACCGGCGAUGUCCGAAUGGGGAAACCCAGUGUGAUUCGUCACACUAUCGUUAACUGAAUACAUAGGUUAACGAGGCGAACCGGGGGAACUGAAACAUCUAAGUACCCCGAGGAAAAGAAAUCAACCGAGAUUCCCCCAGUAGCGGCGAGCGAACGGGGAGCAGCCCAGAGUCUGAAUCAGCUUGUGUGUUAGUGGAACGGUCUGGAAAGUCCGACGGUACAGGGUGAUAGUCCCGUACACCAAAAUGCACAGGUUGUGAACUCGAAGAGUAGGGCGGGACACGUGGUAUCCUGUCUGAAUAUGGGGGGACCAUCCUCCAAGGCUAAAUACUCCUGACUGACCGAUAGUGAACCAGUACCGUGAGGGAAAGGCGAAAAGAACCCCGGCGAGGGGAGUGAAAAAGAACCUGAAACCGUGUACGUACAAGCAGUGGGAGCACCUUCGGGUGUGACUGCGUACCUUUUGUAUAAUGGGUCAGCGACUUAUAUUCUGUAGCAAGGUUAACCGUAUAGGGGAGCCGCAGGGAAACCGAGUCUUAACUGGGCGUUAAGUUGCAGGGUAUAGACCCGAAACCCGGUGAUCUAGCCAUGGGCAGGUUGAAGGUUGGGUAACACUAACUGGAGGACCGAACCGACUAAUGUUGAAAAAUUAGCGGAUGACUUGUGGCUGGGGGUGAAAGGCCAAUCAAACCGGGAGAUAGCUGGUUCUCCCCGAAAGCUAUUUAGGUAGCGCCUCGUGAAUUCAUCUUCGGGGGUAGAGCACUGUUUCGGCUAGGGGGUCAUCCCGACUUACCAACCCGAUGCAAACUACGAAUACCGAAGAAUGUUAUCACGGGAGACACACGGCGGGUGCUAACGUCCGUCGUGAAGAGGGAAACAACCCAGACCGCCAGCUAAGGUCCCAAAGUCAUGGUUAAGUGGGAAACGAUGUGGGAAGGCACAGACAGCCAGGAUGUUGGCUUAGAAGCAGCCAUCAUUUAAAGAAAGCGUAAUAGCUCACUGGUCGAGUCGGCCUGCGCGGAAGAUGUAACGGGGCUAAACCAUGCACCGAAGCUGCGGCAGCGACACUAUGUGUUGUUGGGUAGGGGAGCGUUCUGUAAGCCUGCGAAGGUGACCUGUGAGGGUUGCUGGAGGUAUCAGAAGUGCGAAUGCUGACAUAAGUAACGAUAAAGCGGGUGAAAAGCCCGCUCGCCGGAAGACCAAGGGUUCCUGUCCAACGUUAAUCGGGGCAGGGUGAGUCGACCCCUAAGGCGAGGCCGAAAGGCGUAGUCGAUGGGAAACAGGUUAAUAUUCCUGUACUUGGUGUUACUGCGAAGGGGGGACGGAGAAGGCUAUGUUAGCCGGGCGACGGUUGUCCCGGUUUAAGCAUGUAGGCUGGUUAUCCAGGCAAAUCCGGAUAAUCAAGGCUGAGGUGUGAUGACGAGGCACUACGGUGCUGAAGUAACAAAUGCCCUGCUUCCAGGAAAAGCCUCUAAGCAUCAGGUAACAUCAAAUCGUACCCCAAACCGACACAGGUGGUCAGGUAGAGAAUACCAAGGCGCUUGAGAGAACUCGGGUGAAGGAACUAGGCAAAAUGGUGCCGUAACUUCGGGAGAAGGCACGCUGGUGUGUAGGUGAAGCCCCUGCGGGUGGAGCUGAGACCAGUCGAAGAUACCAGCUGGCUGCAACUGUUUAUUAAAAACACAGCACUGUGCAAACACGAAAGUGGACGUAUACGGUGUGACGCCUGCCCGGUGCCGGAAGGUUAAUUGAUGGGGUUAUCCGUAAGGAGAAGCUCUUGAUCGAAGCCCCGGUAAACGGCGGCCGUAACUAUAACGGUCCUAAGGUAGCGAAAUUCCUUGUCGGGUAAGUUCCGACCUGCACGAAUGGCGUAAUGAUGGCCAGGCUGUCUCCACCCGAGACUCAGUGAAAUUGAACUCGCUGUGAAGAUGCAGUGUACCCGCGGCAAGACGGAAAGACCCCGUGAACCUUUACUAUAGCUUGACACUGAACAUUGAGCCUUGAUGUGUAGGAUAGGUGGGAGGCUUUGAAGCGUGGACGCCAGUCUGCGUGGAGCCAACCUUGAAAUACCACCCUUUAAUGUUUGAUGUUCUAACGUUGGCCCCUGACCGGGGUUGCGGACAGUGUCUGGUGGGUAGUUUGACUGGGGCGGUCUCCUCCCAAAGCGUAACGGAGGAGCACGAAGGUUAGCUAAUCCUGGUCGGACAUCAGGAGGUUAGUGCAAUGGCAUAAGCUAGCUUGACUGCGAGCGUGACGGCGCGAGCAGGUGCGAAAGCAGGUCAUAGUGAUCCGGUGGUUCUGAAUGGAAGGGCCAUCGCUCAACGGAUAAAAGGUACUCCGGGGAUAACAGGCUGAUACCGCCCAAGAGUUCAUAUCGACGGCGGUGUUUGGCACCUCGAUGUCGGCUCAUCACAUCCUGGGGCUGAAGUAGGUCCCAAGGGUAUGGCUGUUCGCCAUUUAAAGUGGUACGCGAGCUGGGUUUAGAACGUCGUGAGACAGUUCGGUCCCUAUCUGCCGUGGGCGCUGGAGAAUUGAGGGGGGCUGCUCCUAGUACGAGAGGACCGGAGUGGACGCAUCACUGGUGUUCGGGUUGUCAUGCCAAUGGCACUGCCCGGUAGCUAAAUGCGGAAGAGAUAAGUGCUGAAAGCAUCUAAGCACGAAACUUGCCCCGAGAUGAGUUCUCCCUGAGACUAUAAGUCUCCUGAAGGAACGUUAAAGACGAUGACGUUGAUAGGCCGGGUGUGUAAGCGCAGCGAUGCGUUGAGCUAACCGGUACUAAUGAACCGUGAGGCUUAACCUU